rnacentral:rRNA from 1 species
AGUUAACGCUGGCUGUAGUCCUAACACAUGCAAGUCGAACUGCACCCCAUUACUAGCUUGCUCUUACAGGUGGCUAGUGCCCUACGGGUUAGCCUUACAUCGCAAUCUACUUUUUCGUGGUGGCUAACGUGGGGUAACUUACGCUAAUACCGCAUACCACCUACUGGUGAUAGCCUCCGCUCUUCGGACCUUGCGCGAUUCUUUGAGCCGAUGUCGGAUUAGCUAGUUGUCGGGGUAAAGGCCCACCAAGGCGACGAUCCGUCGCUGGUCUGAGAGGAUGAUCAGCCACACUGGAACUGAGACACGGUACAGACUCCUACGGGAGGCAGCAGUGGGGAAUAUUGGACAAUGGGAGCAAGUCUGAUCCAGCCAUACCGCGUGGGUGAAGAAGGCCUUCGGGUUGUAAAGCCCUUUUGUUGGGAAAGAAAAGCAGCAGGUGAAUACCCCGCUGUUCUGACGGUACCCAAAGAAUAAGCACCGGCUAACUUCGUG